GUGAAUCAUCAAAUUUUUGAACGCAAAUUGCACUCUCCUCUGAGAGUAUGCCUGUUUGAGGGUCAGCCUAUAAAAAAUCGACAUCGUUGCUGUUUCGCGGUGGCGUUCGUCGGAAAUGGGGUCAUAUUAGAACUUUUGGUUUUAAGCGACUUAAAAUUUUCUUUUUGGUUCCAUGAACGUCUCUCAGAUUUAUUUCUCUACACGUUUAAGGUAUCGAUUUUUAUUAGACGUGACCAUCAUAUCGGAGCGCACUCAUAAUCUUUCCUUAA
rnacentral:misc_RNA from 1 species